CUCCUAGAAACAGAAGGAACCGGACGAGGAGCUGGUGCUCUUUUAGGGUGGGAUGGCGGGCACCCCACAGCCCAAGCGCCUCCGUGACGACGCAAACCACAUCCCCCAAGCCCGGGGAUGCAUUUCUGGAUCCAGGUGACAGCUUCGCAGAGUGGAGCAAUGAGUGAAGCAAUGAGAACGGGCUCUGCCCUUUAUAUACGUAUGACGUAGGCGAGGAGGAGGAGGAGGAAGAAGAGGACUUGCCCGCGACCUCCAGGCACCGCCACAAAUUCGCGCACACGAGAAACCGCAGCAGGUUUCGUCCGCGAAAUCGCUAAAAAGAGGGAAAGCUGAACUUGGCUCACGUUUCGAGCACUUUUAUUGUUUCUUUCUUUCUUUAUUCAUUUAAAUUUCGUGCCCAAACUCCUGUUCUUGAAGCUGCUCUCGAAGGAGGCGGGGGCUUUGCUCGGUGCUCUUGCUUCUGAGGUUCCCUCCGCAUCGCACGGAUGCGGGGGAUGGGGUUGCAGGGAGAGCCCUCGUGCAGGACAGGGCAGGGCGAUCCCAUCGUCGCCUCCGAGGCGGAAAGAGGGGAAAUUCCGGAUCAUUUUGGGGAGAGAAAUUCAGCGGAGGGGGGAAUAAAAAAACACCGGGAAAACCUUCGGGCUUUUUGCCGUUACACAACGAGACCCUCUGCAGUGGGGCAACAAUGUGGAUGGGGCGUAAGAAAAAAGCGAAAAAGCAAGAAAAACUGCCCCCCCCAAAAAAAACAAAAAAGAGACGGAGAUGCGGUGCCUUGUUAAUCUUUUGCUAGCCUUGAACUCUGGGUUUAUAACUCACACCGAGCGCGGGCUCGCAAGAAUUCUAGGCUCCCUCCCUAGGAAAUGACUCACCCAGGCUGCAGCUAAAUAACCCUUCAGUGGCUGAUCCUUUCUAAGCAUUGCCCGAGGCUGAAAAAGGGCAGGUGAGAGCACGGCAACAGGCUCAGGGCAACAAUAAAGCGGUUUGCAUUGGGAAACGGGGUGAGAGAACGGAGCAUCCUCGGCAGCUUGGGGUGGAGGGGAAGGCAGCGAUGCCCAGCAGGUGCAAUGGGGUCAGCGGGGCUGCAGGGAACUGCUCGGGCUGGGGGGAGCUGGGAGCAGACGUGCAAAGGAAACCCAGCGUGCCCCUUGCAGACCUUCGGGCUCGUCCACGCCGAGUGCAAUUAAUUAAACUGAAGUGCGAUUUGAAGGGGAAUGAUCAAUUAGCGGGUCGUUUCCUGGCGGGCGCUUGGGGCAUGACAAACCCCAGAAGCAUGCAGGGCCCUUUGCUUCAGCGAACCCGCUGACUUCGUGCAGCUCAGGGGUUUUGCAGGCAGCUUUUUCACAGCGAGCUCGGAGCAAACGUUGCUUCCCCCAGCCUCGCACGCUCAGCAGGACAGGGGAGGACGGACACCCCGACCUGCAGAUGUUCCCCCAGCUUUAAGCUGUCCGGUUGUUUUCUGCGCGGCCUUUCGGUUAACGGCGGCCACUUCGGUUCCCGUUCUGAGCAGCACUUGCAUCCGUGCUUAAUUUAGUACCGAAAAUAAGAACUUUUAUCCACGCCAGCACUCAGGACCCUGACUCCUCACCCUCUCCUGCUCCGCACUUGCUAGGAAGCCGCAGCCGCAAACCUCCUAUUUAUAAAACUGGACCAGGAGUUAUCCGUGCCAGCGACCGCAGACACAAUGUUUUUUGCACCGCUCUGAACAAAGGCAGCUUUGUGCACGGCACGUGGGUGCUCACACUGCACGACGGGGCAGCAAUGCUCCCAGCUCCAUGGGCAGGGAUGCACACACCCAAGUCACCCACCCGCCCUGCGAGAAUUUCCAGCCUGAUGUGCAGAAGGUUUCCAUGUAAGGCUGAGCCGCACUGGGCACAGACAAGAGGAUUUAUCACCCGGGGACAAGCUUCUCAUUGUGCUUAUCACCAGCAGCCUGGCUCUCUGCAAAGCAGGGGAGCGAGAGCGUCGGGUGUGAGCUCAGUGUGCUGCAAUGGGGCACUUGCAUGGUCACACAUCACCAAAUUACCCCCGUUCCACGGCUCUGCUGCAGGUGGCGAAUAAAAAGAGUGCAAGAAUCUGGGGAAGGAGCGCGGCUUGCCCCCGAGGAGCAAGCAAAGGAGGUGUGGAAGCAAAGGGGGAAUUAAUGACUCAUAGAUGAUGCCUGUCAUAAACAGCUGUGCGGGAAGCUUGCUCUUAUCAGCCCCUCCUGCCCUGGCUAAUGCACACUGGUUCGAUAAUGUGGGGUGAGGGUGGUUCUCCCCUCCUCUCCCCUCCUCUCCCCUCCCAAUGCACACUCCGGGGUACAUGCCCCUAUACGUCAUUUCUGAACAUCAGCACUAAGUUUUGCAUUCUGCUUUUUUUUUUUUUUUUUGCUGUCUUUCCUCUGGUUUUUGUGCCCGGAGCCGUAGCAUAGAAUGGCUUCAGAAGCCACCAGAUAAUUCUGAGCUUCCCCCUCUGGAUAAAAACAGACCGGUCUCAUAAAUACCAGGUUCCUCUUUACAAGUGGAAUGAGGGACUCAUGGGCAGCCGGGCUGUGAACUCCAUGAGAACAGAGCUUGGUUUCCCCCUGGGCAAGCUGCCGAGCCCCAGGUUCCCCAUUCCCUCCUGCACAGCAGGAUGCUCGGACUGCUGUUUCCGUGCCCUUUGCCUGCUUUACCUUUGGGGUCUGGGAGAUGCUCAGGGCGAGCGGGACGAUUCCACCAUCCUUUCUCCCAUCACCUUUCCCCGUGGGGCAGGAAGAAGGGUCAAACAUUUCACCUUGGUGAGCCGACGUUUGGCUGAAAGCAAAGGGAGAGUUUACAGAGCAGGGUGGUCUAAACUCAGACCUACCCCUUUCCCUGCUCUCCCCACCCUCCCCUCUUUCCUCCCCUUGAAAGCAGACUUAAAAGGGGCUUUGGGAUGAGGGAGAGACCCAGUGGGAUGGGGGUUGCCUGCUGCAGGUUCCUCAUCCCAGCCCAGCAUCUGUGUGCUUUGAAACCACUGCAGAGCUCCAGCUCAGCAUGUCUAGGGUUGAAAUGAUCAGCACUGCGUAAAGCCUGGCUUUUUUUGGCUCACCUCAGCGAGUCCCAUAAGCCCUAUAAGGCUGAGACCCCGCCAAGGGACCAAAAUCCCAGCACCCCCACAAAGGGACCAAGCUGCUGUGGUUACACCUCUCCGUGCCGAUGCAAAAAAAAAAAAAAAA